ACAGAUCAGGCAACUUGGCCGGAGGCUUCAACCACACGCUCGUAAAGCUCAACGCUGCCAUGGCCGCUAGUGAAAACCAGAACUGCAAUAUACAAAGUGACAACACUUAUUACAAGAGAGAAGAAGUACCAUGAUAAAGAUGGAGUGAAGGAUCAGUGGAAGUGCUGGUGUGAGCAACACGACCCCCCAAUGAAACACUACCUUCAUCGUAGGGCCCCCUUAUUUGUGUCUCUUGUGUAAAUAAAUAUAUCUAGGCAAACCUGUGUUAAUGACUCACGCUACAAAAAUAGCACACCUCCUGGUCUUGAACAUUCACGCAAGGAGCUGUUGAAACAUUCAGUCUUCAAAAGCGCUAAGAAGAGCAUGGGGUCAAGCUAAUGUGAAACCUAUGAGCCGUUCAGGUGGGCCAGUGUACUUAACUGACUUCUUCAUAAGCAUCGAUGUCAUUUACAUCAGUGGUGUGGAGUAACAGGCCGUGACGUCGGUGUUAACUUACUUUCCAUUUAAUGAUCCGGCUGAGGUUGAGUUUAGGCAGCCAGCGCUGAGUGAGUUUGCGAUAGAGACCCAGUCUGAGCUCUUCUUCUGUACUUCUCUCUAAAGCAGAGAGCAGAUACAAACUCAGAAAGAGGAACGCCAAUGAGGUCACAACGUAAGG